rnacentral:tRNA from 2 species
GGCCUGGUAGCCAAGUAGUAAGGCAGAGGUCUGCAAAACCUCUAUACGCGGGUGCAAUUCCCGCCCAGGCCUCCA